AUGCCAGAAAUGAUCAAAUCGGUCAUCUCACGCAAUGACUGUGCAGCUUCCCACACAACUUCCGGACGUGUUACUGUCUUUCCAUUGUGAGUAUGCUUGCUCCUGCCACCCUCGUCUGGGCAAGACGGCAGCUUUUCAGCUGCCGACUGUACUCGCUAUGGCACUUUCCAGUGUUUAGAGGCCUAGUUUGCCGGGAACUGCUUGCUCUUGAUCAGUUGGAUUGCUCUUGAUCAGUUAGAUUGCUUUUGUAGGAAGAUACGGCAUAGCAAAAUCACGUUUCACAUCCAUGCCACUGUCAAAAUUAAAUUAGGGGGGUAUUUAGGCCUAAGGGCUAGAGGAGGAACAGAUUCUUGUGCAAAGAGAAGUUUGAGUGUGGUGGGCUUCUGCAGAGCUCUGUCUCGUAGCAUCGCUGCAGCGCAGUGCCGUCCAGAAGAGGCGGGGGCGCGGGGCGUGGAGUUGAGCCUUGAGAGCUGCAAAGACAUUAAUCUGCAAGAAACUCAGAGGGCAAGAAGAGAACGGAAAGGGCCAUUGGGUAACUGGGCAGCAAGCACCCAGUGUGUUCUGCGUGAGCGUUCUGAGUGAGAGAGGAAUACUUCCUCCUCUGAAGCAUCCAGGGGGAUUUGUUGGGAGUACAACCGUUCUCACAGCAAGGACGGAACAACACUGGCACGUACUGAUGGGGCCUUGCCUGCUCCUCCAGACACUGGAGAUCCUUGUACGGUUCUCCAGAAUGAGCUGCUCUGGGAAGCGAUGGCCUUCCAGUGUCUCUGCGCACUGUCUCUGUCACUCCGUUACUGGGGCAAGCUGCAAGAGGAAGUGUUGCCCUUCCUUCAGCCUGCUUCUUCCUCUUUCAGGAACAAGCAGGAGAGUGUACUUAAAAUGGCUGAAACAGCAAAGGUGGUCCUGAAACGCCGCAUGAAGACCAGCCGAGAGCUAGGCUGGGCAAGAGCUGGUGACACAGGCAGGAAAGGGGACCUUUGCGAGGCGCGCCUCCUUCAUCGAGCAGUGCUUUCUCCACAGAGAUUACUGGCAUUGACUGUAAUGCCAGAAAAAGGCCAGAAAGCUGAGGAGAAAGAGCCUUGCACCAGGCAGCUACUGGCCAUCCUGAGGAGAUCCUUGGAGGAAAAAGAAGCACAUGAGAAAGUGAUUCCUCUGGGCACUCCCAGGAUGGUGGACUUCUUUGCUGAAGCAGUGGAGGAGAAUAGAAGGAAAAAACGGUUUCAGACCAAGAAGGUGAAGAAGGGGAAGGAGGAGAAGGGGAAGAAGGUGAAGAAGGAGAAGGAGGAGAAGGGGAAGAANNNNNNNNNNNNNNNNNNNNNNNNNNNNNNNNNNNNNNNNNNNNNNNNGAAGAAGGAGAAGGAGGAGAAGGGGAAGAAGGAGAAAAAGGAGAAGAAGGAGAAGGAGGAGAAGGGGAAGAAGGAGAAAAAGGAGAAGGAGGGGAAGAAGGAGAAGGAGGAGAAGAAGGUGAAGGUGAAGGAGGAGAAGGUGGUGAAGGUGAAGGUGAAGGAGGAGAAGGUGGUGAAGGUGAAGAAGGAGGAGAAGGUGGUGAAGGUGAAGAAGGAGAAGGUGGGGAAGCAGGAGAAGAAGAAAGUUCCAAAACAUGUCCAUAAGUUCUUGGCUGCAGAGGAGAAAAAGAACAAAAUGCUGCAGAAGGAGAAAGAGAAGCAAGCCAGGCAGCAAAAGUUGGCACUAGAGAACACAAAUGCAGAGCCAGAAGAAGUGGAGAUGCCACCGGCCCAGGAACCCCCUGCCUCUGAGGAAGAAUAUUACAGCUCUCUGUCUGAGAGCGAGUCAGAGGAGUCCAGCCCUAGCCUGACAGAGAGGAUGAUGGGGGAGUCGGAAGAGGCUGAGGAAGAGCUGCCCGGUAUCUUCUGGGACAGCCCUGUUUCCCCUAAUCGGAGCCUUUCUCCAAGGACAGAUGAGGCCCUGCGAGACGUGGUGAACUGCAGUGUGGAGCAGGUGGCCCGUAAGCAACGGGGACAGAGAGAUGUGGAGAUGGAUCUGCAGGGCCGGCUCCAGAGGUAAAGCUCUCCAGAUAGGCUGAGUUUGCUCUCCCACACUGCCCUUCUCCCACCCCUUGCAGCACCAGGGGAAAAGAGGGGCUUUUCUUGGAAGUGGGUUCUUGGCACAGCCACCUCCUGCAGUCACAGCAGGCACCAAGCUUGGGAGCCGCAGCAGGAGAGCCGUCUCCCUGUGCUCACACCUCCUCCACUGUGUGCCUACAGUGAACUUGCAGUGCUGCGCUGGGGCGGGCCAACCGUAGAAGCGCACAGCAUCCUUGAUCUGCUAGGAGCUGGACUCAGACCUGCACCCCCUGCUGGGCCAAGGCCGGGCAAGGCAGCACGGGUAGGUGUAUGGGCUCCCGUAAGCACCAUGUCAUAGCUAGUUGUAGCAAGCCAUGAGGAGACCCUCUUGGGCCCAGGGGGGCCACAGUCCUUGUGGUAUGAAGAGCAGUUGGCUGUGGAGCUGGAGACCUGCACACAGGCACCCCUUCCAGCCAGAAGGCGCUGCGGAUAAAGUUUCACAGUGGGACUCUGGCAGCUGCAAACAGGAGGGUCUGAGGUGUCAUCCACUGUCUGGUGGCUCUCCAUUCUCCACCUGGAGUCCCUCCUUCUCCUCCCAGAAUACAGACCUCUAAACACCUCACCCUCACAGCCUGUAUCUGCUCAGGCUGAAGUCUCAGCCUUUGCCUGACUCGGUACCUGGUCAAUUAGCCCCUCUGCAGGCUACCCCAGAUUGGGACUGGCCACAAGGGCUGCAAUUACAUUACAGAGACCAUGAGCCUGCUCUCUCUCUAGACACAUACAAGCAGAGCCACUCUCUUAUACUGCUAAGAGACUUGAGUGUUGCACAGCAUGUCUCUGCAUUCACGAAACUACAGAGCUUUACAUUGAACUCCUUAGGACCGGAGAGCAGCGCCCAUGUACAUCGACAAGGACCAUGAGAGACCUGCCAGCAUUGAGAUUCCUGAGCAAGACAUCCAGCAAGUGUCACCCAGCAGCUCAAUGAGGGCCACUGCUUACCUUUGGUGAUGUUAAUGGUGGCACUACUAAAGGCAUGUCGCCACUGUCAAUGUCACCAUUUCCCUAUGUCCAAUAAAGCCCCAUCUCCCAAGCA
rnacentral:lncRNA from 1 species